UACGGAGGGGGCUAGCGUUGUUCGGAAUUACCGGGCGUAAAGCGCACGUAGGCGGCUUUGUAAGUUAGAGGUGAAAGCCUGGUGCUCAACACCAGAACUGCCUUUAAGACUGCAUCGCUUGAAUCAUGGAGAGGCGGGUGGAAUUCCGAGUGUAGAGGUGAAAUUCGUAGAUAUUCGGAAGAACACCAGUGGCGAAGGCGGCCCGCUGGACAUGUAUUGACGCUGAGGUGCGAAAGCGUGGGGAGCAAACAGG
rnacentral:rRNA from 1 species